AUAGCGAGAAUCCUCCCCGGCCAUCUCCGCCAGAACGGACAGUUGAGGAGCAUUCGCCUUAUAUGUCCUCAUCGUCAUGAACCUGCCAUCACAAGAGUCAUCAGACUCAGACCCAGACUCAGACUCAGACUCAGAACUAUCACUCAAAUUGAACCCAUACUUGGCACGUAGUGAGGCCAAGUAAUCGUCGGCGCCUCUCCAGUGAAACCCUGCACCUCCACCUCUGGGAGGAGGAGGGACGACGCUCAGCGGUUCAAGAACCUCCACCAAUGCAUAAGACGAGGGCAGCG
rnacentral:lncRNA from 1 species